rnacentral:lncRNA from 1 species
GCAGGUCAACAAGCAUGGAUGAACUGGGGCUUGAAAACAAGGAAGUACAUGCGCACUCGCCUCCGCCGCACGGGCUGAGCGACGGGAGAAAUUGCCAAUUCCCUCUCUCUCUUUUUUUCCAAUUCAGCAUAAAACAUCUGGACAAAUGUCACUGCGUUACGGUGAAGAACCCAGAUUUGGGACAACAGUAAUUUCAGCUCAGAGCACUGCAGAGGUAAGCGUGACUGCAGACUAGAGUUAUCCUCUCUCUAGUAGCAUGGACACGCUCCGAUACACUAAUGUCUUUCUGAUCUCCAGUGACUGUAAGGGAAGACUGUCUUCUUCUGGCUUGCCUGCCCCCAGGAACAAAGCAGUAGCCUUGACUCUUCAAAGAGAUCAAGCAUCCAUGCCCUUCCUUUUACCUGUUGGCUGAGCACAGGACAAGCAGAAGCAAGAGAAAUGCACAUGGAGUGGAAAGUUGUGC